GGGCGCGUAGCUCAGUUGGUUAGAGCACUGCUCUUACAAAGCAGGGGUCAUCGGUUCGAGUCCGAUCGUGCCCA
rnacentral:tRNA from 1 species